rnacentral:rRNA from 1 species
UGGAAGGUUAAGAGGAGCGCUUAGCUUCGGGGAAGGUACGAAUUGAAGCCCCAGUAAACGGCGGCCGUAACUAUAACGGUCCUAAGGUAGCGAAAUUCCUUGUCGGGUAAGUUCCGACCCGCACGAAAGGCGCAACGAUCUGGGCACUGUCUCAACGAGAGACUCGGUGAAAUUAUAGUACCUGUGAAGAUGCAGGUUACCCGCGACAGGACGGAAAGACCCCGUGGAGCUUUACUGCAACCUGAUAUGGAAUGUUUGUACCGCUUGUACAGGAUAGGUAGGAGCCGAAGAGACGUGUGCGCUAGCAUACGAGGAGGCAAUGGUGGGAUACUAC